rnacentral:lncRNA from 1 species
GCGACGUGGUGGCCCCAUAGGGACGUGGGUGACCCCAUAGGGACAUGGUGGCCCCAUAGCAACGUGGUGGCCCCAUAGGGACGUGGGUGGCCCCAUAGGGACGUGGUGGCCCCAUAGGGUCGUGGUGGCCCCAUAGCGAUGUGGGUGAACCCAUAGGGACGUUGUCGCCCCAUAGCGACGUGGGUGGCCCCAUAGCGACGUGGGUGGCCCCAUAGCGACGUGGUGGCCCCAUAGGGACGUGGGUGACCCCAUAGGGACGUGGGUGACCCCAUAGGGACGUGGUGGCCCCAUAGGGAUGUGGGUGGCCCCAUAGGGACGUGGUGGCCCCAUAGCGACGUGGGUGGCCCCCCCAGGAUGCUGGCGGCCCCAUAAGUGUGGGGCGCGGUGCGGGGGGGCGGUGUGGGGCGGUUGUGGGUCGGGGCGCGACGCUGUUGGCUGCUAAUAAAAAGAGAGAGCGACCGCACGCCUCCGCCCCACGGAUGGACCCACAGCGCUGCCCCAUAGCGACCCACAGAGACCCACCGAGCCCCAUAGAUCCCAUAGNGAGGAGGAAGGGGUUGGGGGCAGCCAGGAGGAGCUUGGUGGCAUCUUGGAGGAGUUUGGGGACAAGUAAGGGGAGCUUGGUGGCAUCUUGGAGGACCUGGGUGGCACCUUGGAGGACCUUGGAGACAAGUAAAGGCACCUUGGUGGCAUCUUGGAGGACCUUGGGGACACCAAAGGGGACCUUGGUGGCAUCUCAGAGGGGUUGGGGUCACCCAAGAGGAGCUUGGUGGCAUCUUGGAGGACCUUGGUGGCAUCUUGGAGGACCUUGGGGACAAUUAAGGGCACCUUGGUGGCAUCUCAGAGGAGUUGGGGUCACCCAGGAGGAGCUUGGUGGCAUCUUGGAGGAGUUUGGGGACAAGUAA